UCCCUGCAGGACUAGUGGUUAGGCCACGGCACUCUCACCACUGCGGCCCGGGUCCGAUUCCCAGCCAGAGAA